rnacentral:rRNA from 1 species
UCCAGACUCCUACGGGAGGCAGCAGUGGGGAAUAUUGCACAAUGGGGGAAACCCUGAUGCAGCGACGCCGCGUGAGUGAAGAAGUAAUUCGUUAUGUAAAGCUCUAUCAGCAGGGAAGAAAAUGACGGUACCUGAGUAAGAAGCCACGGCUAACUACGUGCCAGCAGCCGCGGUAAUACAUAGGUGGCAAGCGUUGUCCGGAUUUACUGGGUGUAAAGGGCGUGUAGCCGGGAAGGCAAGUCAGAUGUGAAAUCCGGAGGCUCAACCUCCGAAUUGCAUUUGAAACUGUUUUUCUUGAGUACUGGAGAGGCAGACGGAAUUCCUUGUGUAGCGGUGAAAUGCGUAGAUAUAAGGAGGAACACCAUUGGCGAAGGCGGUCUGCUGGACAGCAACUGACGGUGAGGCGCGAAAGCGUGGGGAGCAAACAGGAUUAGAUACCCCGGUA